UUGAAAUUGGACGUUUAAUCAUAGAGCCCUUACAACGAACAGUGACAACUCGCGUCAAGUUAUCUCUACCCGGAUGCAGCUCUACAAUUCUGCCAUACAACCACUUAGCUGGAGUUGCAGCAGGAGUUGACAUCUUCACAGAAUAAUCAAAUUCAUCAGUGUUCCGAUUCCAGAUUGACACCCAGUCAUCAGAUCGUCCAUAUAAAAGUCUGACUUCACUCUUUCAGCAGCCAUUGGAUACCUCUCGCCUUCAUCGCACGCAACUUGCUGCAACGACUUUACAGCCAAGUAAGGAGCGCAUGACGUACCAAAGGUGACAGUCAGAAGUCGGUAAUCCUCGAUCUCUUUGUUUGGAUUCUCUCUCCAAACAAUUCUUUGAUAAUCUGUAUCAGGUCGAGCGACCUUGAUUUGGCGAUACAU